GGAAUUGGUAUAUUAAGCUAAUGUCAUAAAGCGACAUUGAGUUUGGGACUUGUAUGAACCUAGUAAAUAAUGCCAUAAAGAGGCAUGAAAAUUGGAACAUGCUUGGAUAUAGUAAUGUUCUAGUGUCCUAAAGAGGCACUAGACUUAGUGAAUGUUGGAACUUCACUUCGAGACAUAGACUAGACCCUUGGGGUUACUAGUGGUUAUUCUAUGUUAGAGACAUGAUGACGAGAUCCGUGACAUGAUGACUAUGCUUGCUUGCCAUUUGUGCUCAUUCGUACAUGCUUGUGAGGGUCGCUCCCUACAAGCCGGCACUCCGGAGUUGGCCUUUGCGACGCAGUUCGCGCGUGCGGGAUUGAGACGCCUGUAGGGUCGCGUGGGACAGCCUCAUUCCAGCGUGGGAUGAUGAGCUACCACGGGCAGCUAGGCGGCGAGGCGCCUGUAGGGUCGUGUGGGACAGACUCAUUCCUAGCGUGGAAUGAUGGGCUACCACAAGCAGCUAGGCGGCACAAGCCGGACUACACUUGUGUAGGUCCUAAAAUAAGAUUGAACAAUGACAUUAAACUGGUGUAUAAUAAUCACUACUAGAUAGGCUUAGUAGUUGGUUUACUUGGACAUGCUUUUAGCAUAAUAUUGGACAUUUGGACGUGAUAGUAUUACUUGUUGCAUCAUAGCAUACUUGGUAGCCGUGAUAGAACAUAGUAUGUAUGUAUUGGCAUAUUGGAUUAGGAUAGAGUAGAUGUACUCCAUGUUCUUAUCAUAUAUACUUGUGGCAUAGCAGUAUAGCAUUUCUUUAUAUGCUUUUAUUUUCGCAGUUGUUAUUUCAUUUUCUAUAUUUGCUCAUGACUUGGGCCUAGUGGUGCAUUUUGCUAAGGUCAGUAAUUGCCCACUGGGAACUAUAAAUUAUAGUUCUCACGCCCCCUGUUUUAUGUUUUCUUUCAGAGCCUUCCACCCCGGGAGAGGCUCGGGAUCGCGGGAAAGGAAUCGCCUCGAGUUAGCUAGCGAGGAAUUCGACGAUAGGUGGUCUACCUCUCUUCUGAGUUUUGUUUGGAGAGGUUGAGAGACUUGUACCAUUUUUGUAGAGACCACCCCUUAUAUGUAGCUUGAGACUUGUGAUGUAUUAUUUUACGUUUUGCCUUGGUGGUUUAGUUUCCCUUGUUUCUACCUGUUGUUAGAACUUAGCUGUAUACUUGCUCUGAUAUCUUUAGAUACACUCUAUUUGUUGUUCAUUUAUUCGCUAUUGUUGUAGACGCCUUAUAUGUGUAGGCAUAUGGCGGGUCUGGAUACGCACCGGGCGGGCCUAGGCCGGGUCCCGGGGCGUGACAGAUUAAUUUGGUAUCAGAGCCUAGGGUUGAGUCUUAGUGGACCUAGCAAACCUUAGGCCGGUUGGACUAUAGAAAAUAGGCUCGUGAGAGACGAGGUCUAUUGAUUUGGGAGCGAAAGUAUUGUGAUUGGGUAUUGAUAUAACUCUAAAAAGCUAGAGUUUGAUCGGAGUGUAUAGCUUCUAACUUCGUGGAAGGUUACGUUGGCGGCCGACAACGUAACAUCGGGAGUUAGUAGUAAAGGACACUUCCUUACUUUCGCAUGAUUUGGGUAUUUGUUAGUUGAGCGGGGUUGCGAUAGCGUGGGUUUUAUUAACUUACGCUUUUAUAAUGUUGUAGUGAUAAUGCCGAUUACACGCUCUAAGUCUGUUGGAGCGGACAACGCGGCAACUUUUGAGGAAGUGGAGACAUCCGCUACCUCCGGAUCCGGCGAGGUCCGUGAGUUGAGGAGCCAGCUUGCGGCCCUCACCGAUUUAGUUACCCAGCAGGCGGCGGCGGCUCAGCAGCAGGCAGAUGCGGCGCGCCGGCAGGAGUCACGGAUGAAGCGCCUGGAGGAUCUUCUACUGCAACAGGCGGCUGCCAGGGAGGCUCAGGUCCCUACACCACCCGCGCCGGUAGAGGUUGUUGCGCCCAGGGUGUCGUCCCCUGCACUCGACACUUCGCGGACGACACCGGCGGUAGCACCUCGGGAGGAGGUUAUUGCGGCACCACCAGCUCAGGUGCCGUUGGCAGGGGCAGUUUUCCCCGUGAUGGUUGAGGGAGUGGAGCGGGAACGGCUCAUGGAUCGCCUCAAUGAGUUUAGGAGGUGUAGCCCCAGGAUCUUCGAUGGAGAGAGAGCCGACCACUGGAUCGUAGAGAAGUGGUUGAUGCACAUGGAGAAGUUAUUCCGCGAUACCUUUGUGGAAGAAAGAGAUAGAGUUUGGCUCGCCACUCAUCACCUGGACGGCGAGGCCUAUAGUUGGUGGUUGGAUAUCCAGGAUAACCCCAACACCGACCUUGCAGCGAUUUCUUGGAAGAGGUUCAAGGAACUCUUGUUAGAGCACUACUUUCCCGUCAGCGUUAAGAGGAAGAUGGAGCAGGAUCUGCGAGAGAUGCGCCAGGGGGAUCAGACCGUGGCCGAGUACGAGAGAGAGUUCUCUCGGCUUCUACACUGUGUGCCCUUUGUUGUGCGGGACAACGAGGACAAGGCCCGCAUCUUCGAGCGAGGACUUCGGCCUUCAAUCUUUCGGUUGGUGCAAUCCUCCAACCUCCAGACCUACCGAGAUGUGGUGAACCGCGCGCUCAUUGUGGAGGGCGGCGCGGCGGAAUUGCAGGAGCGCCGUGAGGGCUUGGAUAAAGGUAAGGGCAAGAGGCCCGCGGCUGAGGGUGCGGAUCAGACGCACUCUGGGAGGCCGCCGAGACAUCCCAGGAGCCGGAGCCAGUCGCGAGGACGUGGCUCAUCUGCACUACAUGGAGGAUCUGAUCGUCGCCAAACUCCGAGCUGCGUGAUCUGCGGUGGUCGUCAUUACCCGCGGCAGUGCUCGCAGAGUCGGGGCAGGUGCUACCUGUGUGGCCAGGAGGGUCAUUUCCAGUCGGACUGCCUGAGGGGUCCAGUUCCAGCGCCGUCAUCAGCAUCGGCACCAGCUUCACCGGGUCCCAGUCGGGGGACGACUUCUGCUCACUACCAGGCUGGGCGGCCUCUUGUCCAGAGACAGACGGAGGGGUCACGACAGGCCUCGAGCGGGCGCAUGUAUGCGGCCCAGACUGAGGAGGCGGCAAUAGCAGAGUUUGUGGCUGCAGGUACCAUUAUAUUAUUAUGGCAUUCGAGUUUAUGCAUUUUAUGAUUGAGAUGUUUGCAUCAUUUGCAUACUUUGAUCGGCUGUUUGCCGGAUUGUUUAGCAUUGAUCCUUUCCGAUGCAUGAUCGGGUGAUCGGGUGUGUCGUUUCGAACACCCUACCUUGUGAGAGGAUUUUGUGCGCCAACAAAUAGAUUGGCUUUACUUGGUGUGGAGUUCUAUAGGGUACCUUGUACCUUUGGUCUUGCGAGCUGACUUGACUCGCCUUGAGAAUUUGAGCACGAAAUAGUGCAUUUUGAGGAUUUAUUUUCGCUGGUUGUGUUGACUAUCCCCUUACCUAAAAUCGGGUAACUACUUAGGAGGAUAGUAUUUGUGGCAUGUUAGAGCAUGUCGUGUAGGACAGCGACGUCGGGUGUUGCUUGGGGGACGACCCGUGCCUGGACCAUUUGUGGACUGUGGAGCCUGGGCCCUUGAGGCAGGCUCAGUCAGCUGUGAGUAAUUGUAGCUCGAUACCUACGGGUAGGGAUGAGAUUUUGGUCAGGACGGUAGUUCGAGCUUAGACCCGGGAGUAUGGAAUGUCACGUGUUGGAUCUUGGAUAGCCAUGUGGAAUCUGAGGAUAAUGCUCUUUGGGGGACUAAAGGUGGAGAUGUGCCGGAGUGUGCCAUCUCACUGCAGAGCUAAAGUCCCUGUGGAAUUAGAGCACUCACAAGGGAGCGAUGCACCUGUGAUAUUGCUUCUAAAUAAUGCCGGUGAUCGAAUCGCAGUGUGUUCCCUAGGGAGAAGUAUGCUAAUGACCUCAAUGGCUCGAUAGGUCGAGUUGAGGUGUAAUUGAAGUUUCGAGGACGAAACUCUUUUAAGGGAUGGAGAAUGUAGCAUACCGGAUUUUAAAAUAAGGGUAUAAAUAAAAAUAGUGUGAGAUACUAUUUUUAUUGGACUUAUAGAAGUAAAAUAUAAGUCGGGGACGGCUCGUGCGGAAAUCGGAGCGAGAACAGAAGAUUUUGAAUUUUCUGUGUGAAUCGAGGCUGUUAUUUUAACAGAAAAUGCACAGUGUCAGAAAAUUCUGAAAACUGGAGGAUAAGUCAGAAUUAUUUUUAUGAGUCUAGAUUUAAAGUUUCAUAUCAUUCUGACACCCAGAAGGUGGAAAAUAAAAUCCGACAGUUAUCUGAUAAAGAUUAUAGUUCGGUACAGCUUUCGGUGACCAAACGGGGUCGAAACUGAAAGAUUAAAUUUUUUCUCGUCAAGUUAAGCAAAACCGAACAUAACUGUCAAAUUUGAACUGAAACGGAUUUUCAGAGGGCUCCGGCGAAAGAUAUCAGAUUUCGAACUGCCUGAUGUGAAUAGUGUAUGCUACUAUUGGGAUGUUGACUAUAAGUAGAAGCUUCUAGGCUUCUUCUUCUUCUUCACAGCCACCACCACCACCCCCACACCACACGUUCAUGGUGUAGUGAGAGAAACCCUCCCUUUUCUCUCUCUAAAUAUCUCUCUCAUCUCUCUAGUUCUUUCGCCCAAAUUCACGGCGUUGGCGGAGAGCGAGCUUGCGAACCGCGGUGGGCAACCGACGGAUCGAGCUUUUCGUGCGCAUCGUUGGAGCGGCGUGUUUUCGUUCGGCGUUCACAUUGGGGUAAGCUAUUGGGAUUUGUCUAAUCCUUACUUUAAGUGUUCUAGUGCCUCUAAGACAUUCUUACAGGUUCUCCCAUCUUAAUCUGGGAUUAUUUGAGAAUUGUAUGUUAAAGGGCCUCAAAAAUGGAUUUUCAAUAUGUGAGGGUUCGAUCUAAAUUGAGCCUGUAUAAACCUAAUUGCUAGGUUUUCUGACAAUCGCUGUGCGAAGUCGGUUCGCGAUACGGACGAGGCUACCCGAAAGAAUAAGUAAUACGCCGAUUUCGUACAGAUUGCCGCAGCUUCGCUGCGUAAGCUUCAAAAAUCAUGAAAUCGGAAUCGAGCAUCGUGACAUCAUCCUUUUUUAAAUCUUUGAGCUAAGAGAGUUGGUGGGCACACAGGUCGAGUGGAUGUUCUCGGGGUUUGAACCUCGCUACAAAUGAGAAAAAUCUCAUUAUGUGGAUUUAAUUCAUCGUAAAAUAGAAUUUCACGCUCAUUGAUAGAUGCAUUAUUGGUGAAUUAGAAAAUGCUGGAAUGCUUAUGUUAUAUACAAUGCAUUUUCGGACCUCUAUGUAGUAGAGAGUUUCGUUUGGCAUUGCCGCUAUGGAUAGCAUUCUUAAAAUUGUGGCUUUGGGAUCAUACUUGCAUUUAAGUGAAUAAUACAGAUAUAAAUGCACAUGUUUAUACUAAUGCAUUUUCGACGUCUUAAUGCUAGUAGAGAGCCUUGCAUGUGCAGACUUAUGCAUGGUUUACAUUCUUUAUACGGGACUUUAAAAUCAUGCUCCAUAUAGUAAAUCAUGCACAAAUGUAAUAUGCUUGGACAUAAAAUCUCAUUUGGACAUAAGAGAAUGAUCAUUAGGCCCAUAAAGUGGCUUUGGACUUGAAUAACUGUGAGUUAGAGAGCUAAUGUCGUAAAAUGCGACAUGAGCUUGGAGCUAUGAAUCAAGACUAAGCAAAGUAAUGCUCAUAGAGAGGCAUUAGAUCUUGAAUAAUAAUGUGAAAUGUAUGUGAUGUUAAUGUUUCACGGAGAAUUAUGCUAAAUUGGUAGUGUGGCAUGGAAAGUGUAUGCAAUGUAGGCAUUUAUGAAAACUAAUGCUAAUGUUGAAAUAGUUGCAUACGGACGCAUCGAAACCAUUGUUAGUGGAUAGAUGCAUGUAUAUUUAUAUGCAUUGUGAGAAUACAUGCUAAGUACAAUUAGCAAUGUGAGAUCAUGUUAGGAGGCAUGCGUAUUUAAUCCUAUAUAUGAUAGGUGGUAAGCUAAAGUCAUUAAUAGAGGCAUUGGGCUUGAGAAUGGUAUAUUAAAGGCUAAUGUUCAUAAAGCGACAUUGAGUUUGGGAGUGUAUGAACCUAGUAAAUAUGCCAUAAAGAGGCCAUGAAAAUUGAAUGCUUGGAGUAAUAGUAAUGUUCUAGGUGUCCUAAAGAGGCACUAGACUUAGGAAUAGUUGGAACUUCCUCUUGAGAAUAGAACUAGAGCCCUUGCGGUGGUACUAGUGGGCUAUUCUAUGUUCAAGAGACAUGAUGACGCAGCAUCUACAUGAUAUACGCUAAUGCUUGCUUGCCAUUUGUGCUCAUUCGCACAUGCUUGUGAGGGUCGCUCCCCUACAAGCCGGCACUCCGGAGUUGGCCUUUGCGAGCAGUUCGCCGCGUGGCGAGAUUGAGGACGCCUGUAGGUCGCGUGGACAGGAACUCAUUCCAGCGUGGGAUGACGAGCUACCACGGCAAGCUAGGCGGCGAGGCGCCUGUAGGGUCGUGUGGACAGACUCAUUCCUAGCGUGGAAUGAUGGGCUACCACAGGCAGCUAGGCGGCACAAGCCGGACUACACUUGUGUAGGUCCUAAAACAAGAUUGAACAAUGACAUUAAACUGGUGUAUAACAAUCACUACUAGAUAGGCUUAGUAGUUGGUUUACUUGGACAUGCUUUUUAGCAUAAGUAUUGGACAUUUGGACAUGUAGUACGUGAUAGUAUUACUUGUUGCAUCAUAGCAUACUUGGUACCGUGAUAGAACAUAGUAUGUAUGUAUUGGCAUAUUGGAUCAGAUAGAGUAGAUUACUCCAUGUUCUUAUCACAUAUACUUGUGGCAUAGGCAGUAUAGCAUUUCUUUAUAUGCUUUUAUUUCUGCAGUUGUUAUUUCAUUUUCUAUAUCUGCUCAUGGACUUGGCCUAGUGGGCAUUUUGCUAAGGUCAGUAAUUGCCCACUGGAACUAUAAAUUAUAGUUCUCACCCCCUGUUUAAUGUUUUCUUUCAGAGCCUUCCACCGGAGAGGCUCGGGAUCGGGAAAGGAAAUCGCACUCAGAGUUAGCUAGCGAGGAAUUCGACCGAUAGGUGGUCUACCUCUCUUCUGAGUUUUGUUUGAGAGGUUGAGAGACUUGUACCAUUUUGUAAGACCACACCCUUUAUGUAGCUUGAGACUUGUGAUGAUUAUUUUACGUUUGCCUUGUGUUUAGUUUCCCCUGUUUCUACCUGUUGUUAGAACUUAGC
rnacentral:lncRNA from 1 species